rnacentral:tRNA from 1 species
GCCCGAGUAGCUCAGGGGUAGAGCGCAUCCUUGGUAAGGAUGAGGUCCCGGGUUCAAAUCCCGGCUUGGGCUCCA